rnacentral:rRNA from 1 species
UACGUAGGGUGCAAGCGUUGUCCGGAAUUAUUGGGCGUAAAGAGCUUGUAGGCGGUUUGUCGCGUCUGCUGUGAAAUUUCGGGGCUCAACCCCGAACUUGCAGUGGGUACGGGCAGACUAGAGUGUGGUAGGGGAGACUGGAAUUCCUGGUGUAGAGGUGAAAUUCGUAGAUAUCAGGAGGAACACCGGUGGCGAAGGCGGCUUCCUGGACACUAACUGACGCUGAGACGCGAAAGCGUGGGGAGCAAACAGG